rnacentral:rRNA from 1 species
CAGGCCUAACACAUGCAAGCCGAGGGGUAACAUGGUGGUGCUUGCACCACUGAUGACGACCGGCGCACGGGUGCGUAACGCGUAUACAAUCUACCUUAUGCUAAGGGAUAGCCCAGAGAAAUUUGGAUUAAUACCUUAUGGUAUGUACAUCUGGCAUCAGAUCUGCAGUAAAGAUUACGGUGUAAGAUGAGUAUGCGUCCUAUUAGUUUGUUGGUGAGGUAACGGCUCACCAAGGCGACGAUAGGGUAGGGCCCUGAGAGGGGGAUCCCCCACACUGGUACUGAGACACGGACCAGACUCCUACGGGAGGCAGCAGUGAGGAAUAUUGGACAAUGGAGGCAACUCUGAUCCAGCCAUGCCGCGUGCAGGAUGACUGCCCUAUGGGUUGUAAACUGCUUUUAUACAGGAAGAAACAUUCCCUCGUGAGGGAACUUGACGGUACUGUAAGAAUAAGGAUCGGCUAACUCCGUGCCAGCAGCCGCGGUAAUACGGAGGAUCCAAGCGUUAUCCGGAAUCAUUGGGUUUAAAGGGUCCGUAGGCGGGCCAUUAAGUCAGGGGUGAAAGUCUGCGGCUCAACCGUAGAAUUGCCUUUGAUACUGGUGGUCUUGAGUUAUGGUGAAGUGGCUGGAAUAUGUAGUGUAGCGGUGAAAUGCAUAGAUAUUACAUAGAACACCGAUUGCGAAGGCAGGUCACUAACCAUAUACUGACGCUGAUGGACGAAAGCGUGGGGAGCGAACAGGAUUAGAUACCCUGGUAGUCCACGCCGUAAACGAUGGAUACUAGCUGUCCGGAUUCCUUGAGAUCUGGGCGGCCAAGCGAAAGUGAUAAGUAUCCCACCUGGGGAGUACGUUCGCAAGAAUGAAACUCAAAGGAAUUGACGGGGGCCCGCACAAGCGGUGGAGCAUGUGGUUUAAUUCGAUGAUACGCGAGGAACCUUACCAGGGCUUAAAUGCAUAUUGACAGGGCCAGAGAUGGCUUUUCCUUCGGGCAAUUUGCAAGGUGCUGCAUGGUUGUCGUCAGCUCGUGCCGUGAGGUGUCAGGUUAAGUCCUAUAACGAGCGCAACCCCUACCGUUAGUUGCCAGCGAGUCAUGUCGGGGACUCUAACGGGACUGCCGGUGCAAACCGUGAGGAAGGUGGGGAUGACGUCAAAUCAUCACGGCCCUUACGUCCUGGGCCACACACGUGCUACAAUGGCCGGUACAGAGAGCAGCCAUCUGGCAACAGAGAGCGAAUCUACAAAACCGGUCACAGUUCGGAUCGGGGUCUGCAACUCGACCCCGUGAAGCUGGAAUCGCUAGUAAUCGGAUAUCAGCCAUGAUCCGGUGAAUACGUUCCCGGGCCUUGUACACACCGCCC